GACAGAGGGUGCAAACGUUGUUCGGAAUUACUGGGCGUAAAGCGAGUGUAGGCGGUUUGGAAAGUCGGAUGUGAAAGCCCCGGGCUCAACCCGGGAAGUGCAUUCGAUACUCCCAAGCUAGAGUAUCGGAGAGGUUGGUGGAAUUCUCGGUGUGGAGGUGAAAUUCGUAGAUAUCGAGAGGAACACCGGCGGCGAAGGCGGCCAACUGGACGAAUACUGACGCUGAGACUCGAAAGCGUGGGGAGCAAACAGG
rnacentral:rRNA from 1 species